AAUAAGGACUGAAUAAAGAGUAGUAGGUAAAUCAGGUUAUUUCAGAGAGUCAGUGGUUGGUGUGAACUGACAUAACCGUUUACUGAACUUGCUUUAUGUUAAAAAAGGUUAGUCUCCGUUAUAGGACUUAAAGUGGGCUUUAUAGCCAAUUAGGGUGGUACCGCGGGAUAACUUCUCGUCCCUAAG
rnacentral:ncRNA from 1 species